UGAUGUGAGAACCAUCAGGAUGCGACAUCUGUCACCCCAUUGAUUGCCAGGGUUGGUCUGCUGAUCUGGCUUCCUAGGCAGGUGUUCCCUUCCUCCCUCACCGCUCCACGUGCAUCCCUCCCAAAGCUGUGUGCUCAGUUGAAGAGGACGGUCUUCCCCGAAUAGAGAUGGAUCAGAAUAGGAGUAGCUGCACCCCUCUGCCAGAACCUUCAAACAAGCUCUCAAGGAACUUAACUCUUGUUAAAAAUCAAUUACCCUGUGGCUAAAUUGCUUCCUUUACAUGUCACAGCUAAAGUUCAGUUU
ensembl:misc_RNA 7SK 7SK RNA